UACGGGGGGGGCAAGCGUUGUUCGGAAUUACUGGGCGUAAAGGGCUCGUAGGCGGCCAACUAAGUCGGACGUGAAAUCCCCAGGCUCAACCUGGGAACUGCGUCCGAUACUGGAUGGCUUGAAUCCGGGAGAGGGAUGCAGAAUUCCAGGUGUAGCGGUGAAAUGCGUAGAUAUCUGGAGGAAUACCGGUGGCGAAGGCGGCAUCCUGGACCGGCAUUGACGCUGAGGAGCGAAAAGCUAGGGGAGCAAACGGG
rnacentral:rRNA from 1 species